GUGGGGAAUUUUGGACAAUGGGCGCAAGCCUGAUCCAGCAAUGCCGCGUGCAGGAAGAAGGCCUUCGGGUUGUAAACUGCUUUUGUACGGAACGAAACGGUCCUGGUUAAUACCUGGGGCUAAUGACGGUACCGUAAGAAUAAGCACCGGCUAACUACGUGCCAGCAGCCGCGGUAAUACGUAGGGUGCGAGCGUUAAUCGGAAUUACUGGGCGUAAAGCGUGCGCAGGCGGUGCUGUAAGACAGGCGUGAACUCCCCGGGCUCAACCUGGGAAUUGCGCUUGUGACUGCAGUGCUGGAGUACGGCAGAGGGGGAUGGAAUUCCGCGUGUAGCAGUGAAAUGCGUAGAUAUGCGGAGGAACACCGAUGGCGAAGGCAGUCCCCUGGGCCUGUACUGACGCUCAUGCACGAAAGCGUGGGGAGCAAACAGGAUUAGAAACCCUAGUAGUCC
rnacentral:rRNA from 1 species